UACGUAGGGCGCAAGCGUUGUCCGGAAUUAUUGGGCGUAAAGAGCUCGUAGGCGGUCUGUUACGUCCGCUGUGAAAACCCCAGGGCUUAACCCUGGGCUGGCAGUGGAUACGGGCAGACUAGAGGUAGGUAGGGGAGAAUGGAAUUCCAGGUGUAGCGGUGAAAUGCGUAGAUAUCUGGAGGAACACCGGUGGCGAAGGCGGCAUCCUGGACCAAUUCUGACACUGAGGAGCGAAGCCAGGGGAGCAAACGGG
rnacentral:rRNA from 1 species